rnacentral:snoRNA from 1 species
AUCAGUGAUGAUAACUGCUGCAUAGGAAGUGCCGUCUGAUGCGAUAACUGACGAGGGCAAAAAAGCAGUUCUGAGA